rnacentral:rRNA from 1 species
GACGAACGCUGGCGGCGUGCCUAAUACAUGCAAGUAGAACGCUGAAGGAGGAGCUUGCUUCUCUGGAUGAGUUGCGAACGGGUGAGUAACGCGUAUAUAACCUGCCUGGUAGCGGGGGAUAACUAUUGGAAACGAUAGCUAAUACCGCAUAAGAGUAGAUGUUGCAUGACAUUUUCUUAAAAGGUGCAAUUUCAUCACUACCAGAUGGCCCUGCGUUGUAUUAGCUAGUUGGUGGGGUAACGGCUUACCAAGGCGACGAUACAUAGCCGACCUGAGAGGGUGAUCGGCCACACUGGGACUGAGACACGGCCCAGACUCCUACGGGAGGCAGCAGUAGGGAAUCUUCGGCAAUGGACGGAAGUCUGACCGAGCAACGCCGCGUGAGUGAAGAAGGUUUUCGGAUCGUAAAGCUCUGUUGUAAGAGAAGAACGAGUGUGAGAGUGGAAAGUUCACACUGUGACGGUAUCUUACCAGAAAGGGACGGCUAACUACGUG